UUUGGUAAUAAAAAAUUUUUAAAAAAAAUUUCAAAAAAAAACUACUAUUUUAUUGCGAAUAUGUUUAAGAAGAUUAUUUAUACUAUUCUGAUAAUAUCAGGUGUUAUUAAACACAUUUCAAAUUUGGAUUGCAGAAAAACCAUUUUCGCUCCAGGCUGCCGAGGUAUUACAGCUAAACGUACGCAAUUAUCGUAUGUAGAUCCUGACCCUUACCAAAAUGAAGAUAUAGGAAAAAUAUAUUUUGCCAACAAAAGGAAUCCAUCUCUAUUUUAUCCGUCACUUAGGAAUUAUAGAGGUACCCGAAUAAAUAUGUUGCCACUUCCGCUUAAAAGUUAUUUAGGUCCAGCAGGUUA